AGGUGCUGACGUGCAACUUGACUUCCCUAUAACAACAAUGUGUGCUCCUAAUAGAUGGGGUAGGGAAGAUAAUGCUGAAGAAGAUUGUAACCUGACAAGACGUACUGGCUCUCCAUUUUGGGGGAUGCAGUGACCUACAAGGAUGUUCAUGUGAACUUCAUAUUCACGAAGUGUGGGUUUUUCUUGGUCCUUCCCAGAAGAGUCUCUACAGAGAUGUGAUGCUGAAUCCCCACAGGAAACUCAUUGCUAUAGAUUGUGACAGCUCUGCUUCCUCCCUCUUGAAAGAAGAAAGAGUUUAAAUUAUUUUUGGCUUUUACGUAAGCUGUACCUGGAAGACUUUGAGCUUUUAAAAGACAUUUUGGAUUUUUAGUGAAAGUGGACAUUAAUAAGGAAAGUUUUAAUGUGUUAGAAUUUGUAAAGAUUGUGGGACUUUCAUAAAGUUAUUUUAAUUUGAGAGCUUGUGAAUAAGUAAGAAAUACAAGGUUUUAGCUCAGUAGUGAUGUGUUUGUUUGUGUGUCAAGUAAAAUAAGCGCUCAAUUGUAGUCUUAUGUCAACUUCACAUACCAACUAGA